UUCCCCUUAGAUACGGCGAGUGAAGAGGGAAGAGCCCAAGAUUGAAAGCUGGCGCGUUCGGCGUCCGCAUUGUAAUCUCAAGAAGUGUUUUCCGCUUCGGACCAUGCCUAAGUCCCUUGGAAAAGGGCAUCAUAGAGGGUGAUAAUCCCGUACAUGGCAUGGAGCGCCCGUAGCUUUGUGAUACGCUUUCUUAGAGUCGAGUUGUUUGGGAAUGCAGCUCAAAAUGGGUGGUAAAUGCCAUCUAAGGCUAAAUAUUGGGGAGAGACCGAUAGCGAACAAGUACAGUGAUGGAAAGAUGAAAAGAACUUUGAAAAGAGAGUUAAACAGUACGUGAAAUUGCCAAAAGGGAAGGGUAGGAGGUCAGAGAUGCGUCUUAGGAUUCAGCCUUUGCUUUUGCAUGGUGUUUUUCCUAAGCUGCAGGCCAACGUCGGUUUUGGGCACUGGAGAAGGGUGGAAGGAACGUGGCACCUCUCGGGGUGUGUUAUAGCCUUCCACUGGAUACAGCGACCGAGACCGAGGAACGCAGCGUACUCGUAAGAGCGGGCCUUUUGGCACCUUUACGCUCAGGUCGUUGGCAUAAUG
rnacentral:rRNA from 1 species